rnacentral:rRNA from 1 species
GUAGGUGGCAAGCGUUGUCCGGAAUUAUUGGGCGUAAAGCGCGCGCAGGCGGUCCUUUAAGUCUGAUGUGAAAGCCCACGGCUCAACCGUGGAGGGUCAUUGGAAACUGGGGGACUUGAGUACAGAAGAGGAAAGCGGAAUUCCAAGUGUAGCGGUGAAAUGCGUAGAGAUUUGGAGGAACACCAGUGGCGAAGGCGGCUUUCUGGUCUGUAACUGACGCUGAGGCGCGAAAGCGUGGGGAGCAAACGGGGAUUAGAUACCCUGGUAGUCCACGCCGUAAACGAUGAGUGCUAAGUGUUAGGGGGUUUCCCGCCCCCUUAGUGCUGCAGCUAACGCAUUAAGCACUCCGCCUGGGGAGUACGGCCGCAAGGCUG